GAGUUUGAUCAUGGCUCAGAACGAACGCUGGCGGCGUGCCUAACACAUGCAAGUCGAACGAAGCGCUUGAAUGGAAUUCUUCGGAAGGAAGCUCGAGUGACUGAGUGGCGGACGGGUGAGUAACGCGUGGGUAACCUGCCUUGUACAGGGGGAUAACAGUCAGAAAUGGCUGCUAAUACCGCAUAAGCGCACAGAGCUGCAUGGCUCAGUGUGAAAAACUCCGGUGGUAUAAGAUGGACCCGCGUUGGAUUAGCUGGUUGGUGGGGUAACGGCUCACCAAGGCGACGAUCCAUAGCCGGCCUGAGAGGGUGAACGGCCACAUUGGGACUGAGACACGGCCCAGACUCCUACGGGAGGCAGCAGUGGGGAAUAUUGCACAAUGGGGGAAACCCUGAUGCAGCGACGCCGCGUGAAGGAAGAAGUAUCUCGGUAUGUAAACUUCUAUCAGCAGGGAAG
rnacentral:rRNA from 1 species